rnacentral:rRNA from 1 species
GAUGAACGCUGGCGGCGUGCCUAAUACAUGCAAGUCGAGCGAACGGACGAGAAGCUUGCUUCUCUGAUGUUAGCGGCGGACGGGUGAGUAACACGUGGACAACCUACCUAUAAGACUGGGAUAACUUCGGGAAACCGGAGCUAAUACCGGAUAAUAUUUUGAACCGCAUGGUUCAAAAGUGAAAGACGGUCUUGCUGUCACUUAUAGAUGGAUCCGCGCUGCAUUAGCUAGUUGGUAAGGUAACGGCUUACCAAGGCAACGAUGCAUAGCCGACCUGAGAGGGUGAUCGGCCACACUGGAACUGAGACACGGUCCAGACUCCUACGGGAGGCAGCAGUAGGGAAUCUUCCGCAAUGGGCGAAAGCCUGACGGAGCAACGCCGCGUGAGUGAUGAAGGUCUUCGGAUCGUAAAACUCUGUUAUUAGGGAAGAACAUAUGUGUAAGUAACUGUGCACAUCUUGACGGUACCUAAUCAGAAAGCCACGGCUAACUACGUGCCAGCAGCCGCGGUAAUACGUAGGUGGCAAGCGUUAUCCGGAAUUAUUGGGCGUAAAGCGCGCGUAGGCGGUUUUUUAAGUCUGAUGUGAAAGCCCACGGCUCAACCGUGGAGGGUCAUUGGAAACUGGAAAACUUGAGUGCAGAAGAGGAAGGUGGAAUUCCAUGUGUAGCGGUGAAAUGCGCAGAGAUAUGGAGGAACACCAGUGGCGAAGGCGACUUUCUGGUCUGUAACUGACGCUGAUGUGCGAAAGCGUGGGGAUCAAACAGGAUUAGAUACCCUGGUAGUCCACGCCGUAAACGAUGAGUGCUAAGUGUUAGGGGGUUUCCGCCCCUUAGUGCUGCAGCUAACGCAUUAAGCACUCCGCCUGGGGAGUACGACCGCAAGGUUGAAACUCAAAGGAAUUGACGGGGACCCGCACAAGCGGUGGAGCAUGUGGUUUAAUUCGAAGCAACGCGAAGAACCUUACCAAAUCUUGACAUCCUUUGACAACUCUAGAGAUAGAGCCUUCCCCUUCGGGGGACAAAGUGACAGGUGGUGCAUGGUUGUCGUCAGCUCGUGUCGUGAGAUGUUGGGUUAAGUCCCGCAACGAGCGCAACCCUUAAGCUUAGUUGCCAUCAUUAAGUUGGGCACUCUAAGUUGACUGCCGGUGACAAACCGGAGGAAGGUGGGGAUGACGUCAAAUCAUCAUGCCCCUUAUGAUUUGGGCUACACACGUGCUACAAUGGACAAUACAAAGGGCAGCGAAACCGCGAGGUCAAGCAAAUCCCAUAAAGUUGUUCUCAGUUCGGAUUGUAGUCUGCAACUCGACUACAUGAAGCUGGAAUCGCUAGUAAUCGUAGAUCAGCAUGCUACGGUGAAUACGUUCCCGGGUCU